UGCUGUCUGCACAAUGGGAGUGCCAAAAACAACUGCAAAAGGAAGGAGGACAGCUCAAAGUAUUUUGAAAAGAACUUGACUCGUGUUUGAAGAAGCUGGCUUGGAAGAUUAUAGUGAGGUUCGUGUUCAGAUUUUAGGAUUUGAGGGAAUAUACGGAGCACAAGCUAAAGCAAAUUUAAAUGGAACAUGUGCAAUCUUAGCUCCCCAACCAGGGAUCGAACCUGCACCCCCUGCAUUGGAAGGCGAAGUCUUAGCCACUGGACCACCAGG